rnacentral:rRNA from 1 species
GACGAACGCUGGCGGCGUGCUUAACACUUGCAAGUCGAACGGAAAGGCCCUGCUUUUGUGGGGUGCUCGAGUGGCGAACGGGUGAGUAACACGUGAGUAACCUGCCCUUGACUUUGGGAUAACUUCAGGAAACUGGGGCUAAUACCGGAUAGGAGCUCCUGCUGCAUGGUGGGGGUUGGAAAGUUUCGGCGGUUGGGGAUGGACUCGCGGCUUAUCAGCUUGUUGGUGGGGUAGUGGCUUACCAAGGCUUUGACGGGUAGCCGGCCUGAGAGGGUGACCGGCCACAUUGGGACCGAGAUACGGCCCAGACUCCUACGGGAGGCAGCAGUGGGGAAUAUUGCACAAUGGGCGGAAGCCUGAUGCAGCAACGCCGCGUGCGGGAUGACGGCCUUCGGGUUGUAAACCGCUUUCGCCUGUGACGAAGCGUGAGUGACGGUAAUGGGUAAAGAAGCACCGGCUAACUACGUG